GUCCCGGCUCCGUUCUGCGGGCCGCCCUCCCGGCGCUCACCUCCACCGCGCAAUUCCUCGGGGUUCCUCUCUCAGCUCCCCCGUAGCGCUCCUCCGGUCCCCGUCUCUCCCCAGUGCCCCCGGGCCGGAGCGGCUGGCGGAGGCCGCGUUCCACCUCGCGCUGCCCGCCCGCCAUUUCGGACCGGGGCUCUCCUUCUCCUCGGCGCAGGGCGGGAACGCCUCAUUGGCUUCACCUGCGCUCACAGCGCUCACCGCUCCCCGACGCAGAUUUCAAUGAAAACAGCUUUGGAUUCAGACAUUCCCUUGCCACGUUGUGAACACAGACAGCAGCAUUGCACCAGGAACAGGCAGUGACACCGACCGGUCGAGCUCCACUAUUUUGUAUGAAGCGGAAAAUAAAGCAAACUGCUUGAGUGGAAGAUAAUUCAAAUUAUUUUCUUUAAUUUCUUAAAAAAAAAAAACAAAA